rnacentral:rRNA from 1 species
UAAGGAAUAUUGGUCAAUGGACGCAAGUCUGAACCAGCCAUGCCGCGUGGAGGAUGAAGGUCCUCUGGAUUGUAAACUUCUUUUAUCUGGGAAGAAACCCUCACGUUCUCGUGAGGCUGACGGUACCAGAUGAAUAAGCACCGGCUAACUCCGUGCCAGCAGCCGCGGUAAUACGGAGGGUGCAAGCGUUAUCCGGAUUCACUGGGUUUAAAGGGUGCGUAGGUGGACUGGUAAGUCCGUGGUGAAAUCCCCAAGCUUAACUUGGGAACUGCCGUGGAUACUAUCAGUCUUGAAUACUGUGGAGGUAAGCGGAAUAUGUCAUGUAGCGGUGAAAUGCUUAGAUAUGACAUAGAACACCGAUAGCGAAGGCAGCUUGCUACACAGUCAUUGACACUGAGGCACGAAAGCGUGGGGAGCAAACAG